rnacentral:rRNA from 1 species
UAGUCAGUGGUUGUAGACGCGAAACCUUGCGAUCUACCCUUGAGCAGGUUGAAGGUUGGGUAAAACCAACUGGAGGACCGAACGAAUAAGCGUUGAAAAGCUUCUCGAUGACUUGAGGGUAGGGGUGAAAGGCUAAUCAAGCUGGGAAAUAGCUCGUACUCCCCGAAAUGCCUUUAGGGGCAGCGUUGUAAUUAAGAGUCUACUGGAGGUAGAGCUACUGAUUGGAUGCGGGGGCUUCACCGCCUACCAAAUCCUGACAAACUCCGAAUGCCAGUAGUAUGAUUUACAGCAGUGAGCGACCGGGUGCUAAUGUCCGGUUACGAGAGUGGAACAACACAGACCAGCAACUAAGGUCCCCAAGAGUAUACUAAGUUGAUCUAACGAUGUUUUGCUGCAGAGACAGCUAGGAUGUUAGCUUGGAAGCAGCUAUUCAUUCAAAGAGUGCGUAACAGCUCACUAGUCGAGCGGCAAAGCGUGGAUAAUAAACGGGCAUCAAGUAUACCACCGAAGUUCUGGGCACGAAAGUGCGGUAGGGGAGCAUUCCAUUCCGCGUUGAAGCCGAACCGUGAGGUUUGGUGGAGUGUAUGGAAAAGCAAAUGUAGGCAUGAGUAACGAUAAUGCGGGAGAGUAACCCGCACACCGCAAGACCAAGGUUUCCUGAUCAACGCUAAUCGGAUCAGGGUUAGUCGGGUCCUAAGGGUAAGCCGAACGGUGAUCUCGAUGGAUAAUCGGUUAAUAUUCCGAUACUGACAUAUACCUCGAUGGAGAGACGAAGGAACGUAAGUGCCGCCACCUGACGGAAUAGGUGGUUAAAGGGCUUAGGUAUAGGGGCAGAUUAAGAGUUAGUCCUUGCUGAAACCUGACAGUACAGAGAGCCUACGGGCAAUUUGAUAGAGCACCCAAGUCGACUUCCGAGAAAAUCUUCUAAGUUAUAGUAUAUGUUACCCGUACCGUAAACCGACACAGGUGGUCGAGGAGAGUAUCCUAAGGUGCUCGAGUGAAUCACGGUUAAGGAACUAGGCAAAUUAACCCCGUAACUUCGGGAAAAGGGGUCCCAUCGCGAGGUGGGCGCAGCGAAGAGGUCCAGGCGACUGUUUAUCAAAAACACAGGGCUCUGCAAAUUCGAAAGAAGACGUAUAGGGCCUGACACCUGCCCGGUGCUGGAAGGUUAAGAGGGGAUGUCAUCGCAAGAGAAGCAUUGAAUCGAAGCCCCAGUAAACGGCGGCCGUAACUAUAACGGUCCUAAGGUAGCGAAAUUCCUUGUCGGGUAAGUUCCGACCUGCACGAAUGGUGUAACGAUCUGGACACUGUCUCAACCGUGAGCUCGGUGAAAUUGUAGUCCCGGUGAUGAUGCCGGGUACCCGCAACGGGACGAAAAGACCCCGUGAACCUUUACUAUAGCUUAACGCUGAAUUUGGGUACACAAUGUGUAGGAUAGGCAGGAGACUACGAAGCGGGCACGCCAGUGUUCGUGGAGUCGACGUUGAAAUACUGCCCUUUGUGUACUUGAGUUCUAACCCUCGAGAGGGGACACCGUUUGGUGGGUAGUUUGACUGGGGUGGUCGCCUCCAAAAGAGUAACGGAGGCUUCCCAAGGUACCCUCAGCACGAAUGGUAACCGUGCGUAGAGUGCAAUAGCAUAAGGGUGCUUGACUGUGAGACCAACAAGUCGAUCAGGUGCGAAAGCAGGGUAUAGUGAUCCGGUGGUUCUGCGUGGACUGGCCAUCGCUCAAAGGAUAAAAGGUACUCCGGGGAUAACAGGCUGAUC